UUUUGACAUUAAAUGUUAAAA
ensembl:piRNA 21ur-13842 ncRNA